CUGCAUGUGAAAACGCCUGCUCCUCAUUCCUUUAAAAGCAGUAAUACAUCCAUAACUUGCUACAUUUUGAACAA
rnacentral:snoRNA from 1 species